GCCCGGGUGGUGGAACUUGGUAGACACGUACGUUUGAGGGGCGUAUGGGUAACCCCGUGCGAGUUCAAAUCUCGCCCCGGGCA
rnacentral:tRNA from 2 species